GGAAGUAAAGGUCGUAACAAGGUUUCCGUAGGUGAACCUGCGGAAGGAUCAUUAUUGUAUAACCGAGGUGCGAGGGCUGUCGCUGACCCGAAAGGUCGUGCACGCCCGAGUGCCCUCACACACAUCCAUCUCACCCCUAUGUGCACCACCGCGUGGGUCCCCCUUUGGCUUGUUCGGAGGGGGGCUUACGUUUUCACACAAACUUUGUAUGCAGUGUAGAAUGUAUUUUUUGUUUUUGCGAUCACGCAAUCAAUACAACUUUCAACAACGGAUCUCAUGGCUCUC
rnacentral:misc_RNA from 1 species